ACAAACCAGGACCUCGGCGAGGACAGCGUGUGGUCCAGAAGGCAUCGCUGGCCUCGCUGCACUGAGCGAGAGCGCUCAGUUAACAGCCAGGAGGAGAAAUGGGACGCUUCGGGACCCACCCCCGCGCUCCCCCUCCCGCCCCCAAACUGCAGAUUUUUAAGUUGUGCAGACGUGGAACAAUUCCUCGGAGCCAGCUGCUCCAAGCUAAGGCGCCCAGUGUUCCCUGGGUUCCUACCCGCAGCAUACGCCCUGCCAGCUGCCCCCAAGCCAGCACCCGCUGACCACUCACCUCAGGCAAGCACCUAGGAAGACGAUGCAGAUUCAAGCUCCAGACCUUGAGCCAAGCGCUGGGGAGGGAAUGGGGGCAAAGAGAUGGUGGAAAACACUUUCCUGAACUUACUGAAUACCCUAUGUUAUGUGUGGGUUUUCUAAUUGUUCUUUGCUUAAUGAAAAACCCACGUUGGAAAUCAGAAAAAGGCAGUAAUCCUCACCGUAUCUUGUGGGCUUCAAAGAGGAGGUUUUCCCCUUAAAGGGAGUUUUGGUCCAGAGGAGAGGCUAACAGCAGGCAGGAAGGGCAGAGGAAAAGAUAAAGCCUAGGGUGGUCUUCCCCCUGAGGCCUGGAGCCCACCAAGCUCCAACAGUUUCAUUUGGCUUCUGGGAAGCAAAGUACAGAUGCAUGUGUCUGCAGAGCACUGUUCUGAGCCAUUUGUCCCUAAUUCCAUGGUUCUUUGGUUCCUCCAAUCUUGUCUCCUCUCCUGUGGAAGAGGAUCCAAAGCAUUGGUCCACACUGCUAUUUACAAGUGGCUGAAGAAGGGUAAUCAUGUGAAGCCAAUGAAAUAAUAAAAAGGACCACAUCGGAUGACCCCUGAGGCAGGUCUGCUCCCCAAAAGUUUACUCUUGAAUGUUGACCAAGGUUGAGCUAGGCAAAGUGGUAAAUUCACACACACGGUAUGUAGCCCCUUCCCCAACCCCAGUCUCCAUUACCGGGGGCAUGCUGUGAACUAACUGCCUCCUUUUCCCCACACACCCACUUCCUGCCCAGUCUUUAUGCCUCCCGAUAUGACAUCCCGUUCCCUCUUAAUUAACUGUGCCUAUAGAGAAACAUCUAGAUAAACCAUGCAUUUAAUCUGUGAGGGGUCAAUCAUUUAAUCAUCGUUGACAAUAAUGCUCACUCCUCUGUGGUUUCAGAGGACUCCUGGAGUGGAUGGAGACACAUGCCACUAAUGUGGGAUGCAUUUCAGUCUGUCUUCCAGGCCUCGUUUGGAGGUCUCCCUCUCUUACCCACCUAUCACACAUCCAUGUCUUCCCUUCCCUCCCCAGAGCCAAACCUGUCCCCGACUUUUUAUUCUCACUAAAGUUCAAAUGACAGAAAUCAGCUAGAUUAGUACUUGCCUUAGUCCUGAAGGAAAGGGAAGUGCUCAUUAGCUUCUUAAAUUGGAACAGGUCUGCAGGUGAAAAUGAAGAUGUGCUCAUCUCUGGCAGGAAGGUUGGGAGUGAGGGGUAUAGUCAUAAUGAGCAGCGUUUAUUUGGUGUGUGCCUCUCACUUGCCACUUUCUACCCAGCUGCCUGAAUAUCACUCCAGUUAGUCUGAGCACAUGAAACACCUGCAACUCCCCAGACCCACCAUGCUUUUUCUUGACUCUCUGAAUGCACAGCAGUGCCUCCUCAGCUAAGAACACAGUUCCCCAUCACCAAGCUUUGCUUUGCCCAACAGACCCCUUCUCCCUUAGGAUGAGAUUCAGUGGAUAAUCACAUCAUAAUCACGACCCUCUGGGAAGCCGCCUCUCUCAUCCUGGGUUGUGUGUUGUGUGUUUCCUUUCCACACUCCCUCAGCAGCCUUUGCCUCCCACUUUCAUAGAAUCUACCAUAUGGGAUUUUAACUGUUUGUCUUCCACUAGACAAUAAGCUCCUUGAAGACUGAAUUUCCAGGAACUUCUGUUGGAUCUGCAUGUUUGUGAAGUGAAUUACUGAAGGCUGCCCAGUUUCAUCUGAUCCUAGUCAAAACCUAAAUCCCUUAUUUCUACGCUACCUUUUGCCAGCACCUGAAAAUGAUGCCAGGUUUCUGGAAUCCACGGCAGCAAUGGGUGAUAAGUCUCCAGCAUCUGGGUGACAGCAGACUGACUCUGCUCUCAAGUCUCAUUAAUCCACAUUGGUGAAGACCUCCAGGAUAUUGAGGCAG
rnacentral:lncRNA from 1 species